UACGUAGGUGGCGAGCGUUAUCCGGAAUACUGGGCGUAAAGCGUGCGCAGGCGGUGAUGUAAGACAGUUGUGAAAUCCCCGGGCUCAACCUGGGAACUGCAUCUGUGACUGCAUUGCUGGAGUGCGGCAGAGGGGGAUGGAAUUCCGCGUGUAGCGGUGAAAUGCGUAGAGAUGUGGAGGAACACCAGUGGCGAAGGCGGCUCUCUGGACUGUAACUGACGCUGAGGCGCGAAAGCGUGGGGAGCAAACAGG
rnacentral:rRNA from 1 species